rnacentral:rRNA from 1 species
CCUACGGGUGGCAGCAGUGGGGAAUAUUGCACAAUGGGCGAAAGCCUGACGCAGCGACGCCGCGUGAGGGAUGAAGGUCUUCGGAUCGUAAACCUCUGUCAGCAGGGAAGAACGGUCACUGUGCUAAUCAGCAGUGAAUUGACGGUACCUGCAAAGGAAGCACCGGCUAACUCCGUGCCAGCAGCCGCGGUAAUACGGAGGGUGCGAGCGUUAAUCGGAAUUACUGGGCGUAAAGCGCUCGUAGGCGGUAGGUCAAGUCAAGGGUGAAAUCCCCGCGCUCAACGUGGGAACUGCCUUUGAAACUGGCAAACUGGAGUGUGUGAGAGGAGAGUGGAAUUCCAGGUGUAGGAGUGAAAUGCGUAGAUAUAUGGAGGAACACCAGUGGCGAAGGCGACUAUCUGGCACAUAACUGACGCUGAGGAGCGAAAGCGUGGGUAGCAAACAGGAUUAGAUACCCCUGUAGUC